UACGUAGGGGGCGAGCGUUGUCCGGAGUUACUGGGCGUAAAGGGCGUGUAGGCGGUUGGAUAAGUCUGGUGUGAAAUGCCGGAGCUUAACUUUGGCACUGCGCUGGAAACUGUCUGACUGGAGUUCGGUAGGGGUAACUGGAAUUCCCGGUGUAACGGUGAAAUGUGUAGAGAUCGGGAGGAACACCCGUGGCGAAGGCGGGUUACUGGGCCGCAACUGACGAUGAGACGCGAAAGAGUGGGGAGCAAACAGG
rnacentral:rRNA from 1 species